AUUGAACGCUGGCGGCAGGCUUAACACAUGCAAGUCGAGCGGGGGGAGGUAGCUUGCUACCGGACCUAGCGGCGGACGGGUGAGUAAUGCUUAGGAAUCUGCCUAUUAGUGGGGGACAACAUCUCGAAAGGGAUGCUAAUACCGCAUACGUCCUACGGGAGAAAGCAGGGGAUCUUCGGACCUUGCGCUAAUAGAUGAGCCUAAGUCGGGUUAGCUAGUUGGUGGGGUAAAGGCCGACCAAGGCGACGAUCUGUAGCGGGUCUGAGAGGAUGGUCGGCCACACUGGGACUGAGACACGGCGCAGACUCCUACGGGGGGCAGCAGUGGGGAAUAUUGGACAAUGGGGGGAACCCUGAUCCAGCCAUGCCGCGUGUGUGAAGAAGGCCUUAUGGUUGUAAAGCACUUUAAGCGAGGAGGAGGCUACUUUAGUUAAUACCUAGAGAUAGUGGACGUUACUCGCAGAAUAAGCACCGGCUAACUCUGUGCCAGCCGCCGCCGUAA
rnacentral:rRNA from 1 species